rnacentral:lncRNA from 1 species
GCCCUGGGCAGCCCCGCGUCCGGAGCUGCACCCGGAGUCCGCCUGCACCCCAGCCUGGAGGGGCGCUUUCCGCCUGGGACUCCCUAGUGGGCCUGGAGGGAGGGACCAGCCGCCCUCCAGAGCCUGCGGGACCACCGCGCGCGCCACAGCGACCUCCAGAAGCCUUCCGGGAAAUGGAGACAGGAAAGACAACUGGGCCUUGGACAGAAGAGAGGAGGCGGACAGGAGGCGGACAGGGUCACACAGUCACCCAGGGCAUGACUCGGAGAAGAGGAGGUGUUUCAGGGCCAUGCUAUUGCUUGAUGGCUAAGUUGCCCAGAUUGGACUUGAAUUGUGGUCUUCCUGCUUCAGGCUCCAAGAGUUCUGGAUUACAGUGACACAGAAGAAUGCACAGAUUAUAAGUGUGCAACGUGACCAGCGUUCACACGUGGGCACCCUCGUGCACUUCUUCAAGAUGCUGGGCAACCCUGGAUGGGGGCGCGGUCGCAGACUGCAUCUCAUCAAUCUCUCAGACAGACCCAAGAUUUCUCCUCAGCACCAGGAGGAUGUUACAAAUUCUGCCCCAAGCUGGGUGUGGUGGCUCACAGGCCUGUAAUCCCAGCACUUUGGGAGGCUGAGGGACCACAUGUGUGCCUGGCUUCCCAAAGGGUGUCCCUCAUGGUGCUGAGAUGAAAAGGUUCCCGAGUCAAGACAAGUUUGGGAAGUGCCAUAAGUCAUGACUCUGCUGGCCUCACAGCACCUGUGACUAUCUUCAAG